rnacentral:misc_RNA from 1 species
GCAUUUUGAUACGAAUUUGCUGUAUUUAAUGGCUGAUAUAGUGAAGCAGAUCUUGGCUAAGCCAAUUCAAUUAGCAGACCAAGUAACAAAAGUAGCAGAUGAAGCAAACUCAUUCAAACAAGAUUGUGCAGAUAUAAAAUCCAAAACAGAGAAGCUAGCCGCGCUGCUACGUCAAGCAGCGCGAGCUAGCAACGAUCUCUACCAACGCCCUACCAAACGAAUCAUCGAAGAUACCGAGCAAGUACUCGAAAAAGCCCUAUCGAUCGUCUCCAAAUG